GUAGCGGCGAGCGAACGCGGAUUAGCCCAAACCAAUAAAGUUUUCUUUAUUGGGGUUGCGGACAUAUCAUAACGAAGAGGUAUCGUAAUUGAAGAGGUUUGGAAAGACCCACCACAGAAGGUAAUAGUCCUGUAUGUUAAACGAGAAGACUUUAGAUAUGAUCCAGAGUACCACGGGACACGUGAAACCCUGUGGGAAGCAGGAGGGACCACCCUCCAAGGCUAAAUACUACCUAGUGACCGAUAGCGUAUAGUACCGUGAGGGAAAGGUGAAAAGAACCCCGGGAGGGGAGUGAAAUAGAACCUGAAACCCUGCACUUACAAGCUGUGGAAGCACAUUUCUUGUGUGACCGCGUACUUUUUGUAGAACGGGCCAACGAGUUACGUUAAGUAGCAAGGUUAAGCACUUAAGGUG
rnacentral:rRNA from 1 species